UUCUUUUUUUAUUCUAUCAUUCUUUUUAUAAAUUUAUUUUUUUUUUAUUAAAUUUCUCUUUUGUGUUUUAUUUUUAUUUAAAUUUCACUUAAACGAAAUAUAAUUUUAUUUAAAUUAAUCUUUAUAUUAAAAUCCUCUUUUGUUUUAUAAUCUGUUUUAUUUAAUUUAAUGAUUUAUCUUGUUAAAUUAAUAAUUUUCUUGUUAUUAUGUUUUUAAUAAAUUAAUAUCUUUGCAGGAUUCCAAGCAACAACAAUUAUAAUAUACAUACAUAAUAUUUUAAUUUUUCGCGCGUUUUUGAAUGGAAAAAUAAGCAUCAUGGGCCAGCCAAUCAGAACAUCGCUUAAUUCUUGGCGCGAGACGAACCAGUGCGCAUCACACUGCGCAUCAUACUGCGCAUGGCGUUAGUCUACAGUUGAAAAUUGUGUGGAGUGGACGUGUCGUCGCGAAUUCGGAUUAUUAGGUUUAAUUGGUAGCGUCAUGAUGGUAGCUCUCGGGAAGGCGGGAAAAAUUCCAAUAUGGACGCCUUUUUUGAUGUGGUAAAAUUUUAUAUUUCGUAUGUAUAAAUUUUUAUUCUGUUUUAUAGGAUUAUUAGUGAUUGUUGUUAAGCAAUUCAUAAUAAAAUUACGUUUUGGUUAAAAGAAAGCGAAAAAAAUUAGAAAUUUAUGAAGCACUUUCAUGAUUUAUACAUAAUUCGUAAUUUAGCAAUAUUUUCAGAACAAAUGUACGAUAGAAAGAAGAAGAGUAAUAUCAAAAAGAUAUUGUUUCUUCUUUUAUCUCUUUCCCAUCCCACUAAUUUAAUGUUAAUUUCAGAAAAUAUUUGUGACCGCGCGCAAUGCGGUUAAUAGAAUCAGUGUUUGCUUCGUCAUAGUAUUUUUAAUAUUUUUUAGAGCACAAUAGCUCUGAUUAAAUUUAAUUAGAAUAAUCAAACGCGAAGAUAGAAUCAGUGUUUGUUCGCCGAUUAUAUUAUAAUUUAUACGGACGCGUUGUUAGUUUCUUAUUUUUAUUUUUUUCUUUUUAUAAAUAUUCGUUUUCGGUACAGAGUAGAGUCAGUGCUUCUCUCAAGAGAAUACGGCGAUCAUCCACCACGCGAAGAGAUGCUGAUGAAAGUUUUUCUUGGACUUUAGUCUUAAAAAAUAUUUGUGACCACGCGCAAUGUGGUUAAGUAGAAUCAGUGUUGCUUCGUCAUAGUAUUUUUAAUAUUUUUUAGAGCACAAUAGCUCUGAUUAAAUUUAAUUAGAAUAAUCAAACGCGAAGAUAGAAUCAGUGUUUGUUCGCCGAUUAUAUUAUAAUUUAUACGGACGCGUUAUUAGUUUCUUAUUUUUAUUUUUUUCUUUUUAUAAAUAUUCGUUUUCGGUACAGGGUAGAAUCAGUGCUUCUCUGAAGAGAAUAAGGCGAUCAUCCAUCACGCGAAGAGGUAAUUAUCUCUUUUUCUGUCUAAAUUUUUUAUUCUUUCAAACAGAAAUUAAUCAGAAUUUCAAUACAUAUCAUUAUUACAUAUUGCAAAUUUAAUAGUUUCAUAUUUCAAUUUCUUUGAAUAACGAGAACCGUGUUUUAAAUUGAUGAUAUUUUGUCACAGAUUUCUUCCAUCCUCCUACCUGAUGACAGGCUUCUUCUCGAUGACUUCUGGGGCUACAACACAGUGAAGGUGUUCGUCGCAUCAUAUGGUGAGUCGCAUGCUUUUUGGUUCCUCCGGUCAUUCAAUCAUGUCGUAGGAUGAAAGAUCCGUAUCGACACGGAUGACUGGUUGUAUACGUAGAAUUUUGCACGAGCACAAUGACCACGGAUAUUUGUUUAUAAUAUCCGUGAGUAGUAACAUUUCUUUUGUGUUUUAUUUAUUAGUUCAGGCUAGGAUCUUCUUGCGUUUCGCGUUUUUGAUUAAUAUAAAAUGUUUAAUAAUUUUCUAAUG